rnacentral:sRNA from 1 species
CUGAAGGCAGCCAGAAGACUAACUCUUCAGGCAGCUAGGAGGCAGCUUUCUCAAAGCCCACCCCCACAGUGGCACACGUCCCUCGGCGAGGCUACACCUACUCUGAAAAGGCCACACUCAUUAAUAGUGCCACCCUCUGGCCCAUGCGUAUUGAAACUACCACAAGUGGUAAUGCUAAUAUAGCUAGAAACUUUUAUCUUUUUGUAAAAAUUCAUGUAAGCUUCAGGGAGUCAUAAGACCUGGAUCUACCUGUCACAGGUCAAAUGGACUCCAGAUAAGUGCAGCCUCAGUUUCCCCACCUGUCUAGUCCCGAAAGGAUGGAAUCUCUCCCCUGGCCUUGAGACUCCUCCCCUUCGUCAAUUACUAGAACUAUGGGCCUGAAAGUUCCAAAUGUAGAGUUUUCUUUUAAGUCCCUAAGUUUUAACUUUACCCUAGUCUAUAUUGUCUCAGUAGAUUUCCACUUGGCUGAGAGAAAUCAUUCAGGGAUCACCUGUGGACUGCAAACUGCUGCGCUCUGGGCUUGGCUGAAAGUCUCUGGAAACCAUCUAGCCUAUGUGGUUGGCCCCUGUCUCUUCAGCUGGAUCAGCUAACCAGAUUCUUCUGGAGAAUGCCCCAUUGUCUGAAACCCUUCCCAGCCUUUCACUAGCUUCCAGCCUUCCCGAGUCCUGAAAACUAUGCCCUAGUUUCAGCUGGAAGUAGUUACAAAGGAGAGAAUGCCUUGCACACCCUCCCCCACCCCCACACUCCAGCAGGCUGAAAUGCUAAGUCAAAGGGAAACGCCCUGGCAGAGGGGACAAAAUGGCCCACAGUGUAAAUCGACACACCAGGAAAGCGGGCCCAGACUUAUCAACUGGUAGAUUCACUGACUGAAACAGUUCUACACUAGGAUUCGGCACUUGGCCUGGUUUAUGCAGAAUGAAGAGGUGGUAUGUGGCUUUAAGAGAAAAUUGUUAUUUCUGUACGAGCCUGUAGUAGGUUGUACAGGGUUAUUCCUGAUUGGUUGAAUAAAGAUGCCUACAGCCUAUAGCUGGGCAGAAUUGAGAUAGGCGGGGUUUAGGGUUUUUGGGGGCUUGGGGUCUGGGGAUAACCACAAGGAGGAGAGAGAGGGUUGGAGAGAGGAGAAGAUACCAUGGGUAAGAAUCUUGAAAUUAGGGCAAUGAAGGCUGGCCAGUUGGAGCUAAGAGCAGCCCAGACGGUGGAACAUGACAAAUCCUGUUGUGGAGUUAUGGCCGGGAAAUAGACAUAAUAGAUGGAAGAUAGAUAACUAGUGCUGACUAAGGCCUACGGAGGUUGUAUGAGUCUUUUAUCUGGGAACUGAAUGGCUGAGGCAGGGUAGAAACCCCAGAUUGAGACUAAAUAUUUUCUACAACACAAUCCAUUUGGGAUUUUAAUCUUGUACACUAAAAUUACAUAAGAGACUUGAGAUGACUGGUGCCACAUUUAUUUCCAGGCUCCUUCUGGGUAGUAACUCUGAUGUCAGCCAUCAUAGAUUCCUUGGUCAUUCUGCCCCUGCUGGUUACUGUUGGCUCUCACAUCACUGAUAUAAUAACCAAAUGGUAGUUCAUGUCUGGACACCAUGAAAAUGAUGGUUAUUAGAUUCCAUAUGAAUAAGUACUUAUCAUACAGUCAAGGAUUUGACCCAGGAUACAAUUUAAGGAGGGAAUUUAAGACCUAAAGUUAACCUGUGAGCUGCACUGGCCCAAGGACCAAAUAACUCCCUGGAAUGCUGGGAGAUGUAGUUCUUGAAAAACAAAGCCACAUGGGAAAAUACAAUGGCCAUAUGAUUUUGCCCUAAAAUGCCAUACAGCAUUGUCUCCACUUAGCUGGGAAUUCUAGAGGGUGGUCUUGACCAAAGUCCACCCUAAUAACUAUUUAAUUAAAGCUUACUUCGAAUUUGGUUCAAAAUUAUGGUUUUUCUCUUGUGAAUCUCAAGAUUAACACAAUUUUCUACAAAGAUAAGGUCUCUUUCCCUAAACAGUGUGCAUAUCCCUCUGGUUUAGAUCUUUGGUGAACUGUACCUUUUGGACUUGAGUAGAGGGCUCUGGAAAUCCUCUCCUUUCCUACGCAGCAAGGAUGACUUUGAACUCUUGAUUAUCAUGCCUUCUUGGCCAAAAGCUGAGAUUAUAAACUCUCGCCACCAACCUAACCUUUUGCUUUUCUUUUCUUUUUCCACAGGAUCUUGCUAUACACUCUUGGCUGGCCUACACUCCUCCUUCCCUUGCCUCUGAAGCAAUGUGAUUAUUGUUCUGUGACUGUGGCCAUCAAUACGUUCAUUUAAUUAAUGUUUUUCCCAUUGCAGUUCACCAUAACCCUUCAGGAAUCAAGCCAUUGAAACCCAGAUGCGGAAUGACUUGUCUCAGGGCACAAACCUGUGUUCGAGCAAUCCCUGAGACUUCCAGUAUGUCCCUUUAAGAGGAAGGUUUGUCCUUGGCAACUGGUACUCAGAUAGGGCUCUGGGGAAGCCCUAGGGGAAAAAAAAGGAACAAGACUGGGGGAGGGGAAGACUGGCCAGUGGGUGACUUUGAUAACCAGAGCAAGGCAGGACUAUAGGCCAAGGAUCUGUAACUUCAGCUUGACGAGAUGGGAUCUUUUGGGUCAAGAUACAAGACUUAGGGUCCACGAAGCUGGUGGCUCUACUCAGCACAGGACUGGCCUGUGCAUGACUCUGGUUUAAGGAAAGCCACAGCCAAUGGCUGUGGAAGGCUUAUCUUAGUAACCUGAAGUUUACCGAGCAUGCAAUCUGUGCCAAGCACUGUGUACCCUACAAGGUGGGUAGCCUGGGCGGUUGGUUAUCUGAGUAGGGAUCUCCAAAACUCCUGCCUAGUGUGUUCUUAGGAAGCAGGUGUGUCAGGCAAAACCAUAUGUACUCUGCCUCGUAGAAACCAGCACACUGGAAAGACUCCACACCUCAGCGAUGACAUCUGAGAAUAUGGCCCAGAUUCAAAGGCGGCUUUGCCACCUACCACCUGGAUGUUUCUCUGCCUUUGUUUCCUCUUGUGUAAUGGGUCCAAUCCCCACCCUUGGGCUGUUGGGAAAGAAUUGCCACAGGUCUGGCCUGCUGGAUUUUGCAUACAGCCAGCUAGGCUGCACAGCUGGGAAUACCAGGGAAGUCUCCAGAAAGUUGACCAGCAACCACAGUGCUUGUUCAGCGCCAGAGAUAAAACUAGAGGCAAACACUUGCUGCUUCAUGAGGUCAGAUGCCCCUCACAGGAGCACUGUCCCUGGAGUCCAGCUGUGGCUUGUUGACUGUCGCACUCCCUCACAGGAGGGUUGGGAAGGGGCCACUGGACACUCUGCAGAGCACUCACUCUUCCCGGCUGAGUGGAAUUCUGCUCUCAUUGUGACCUUGGGGUCUUGGGAGUAUGUAGGCUUUGAAGGACUAAAAGCGGGGGCUCCCCAUCUAUGCCGUGAUGGGAAAGCCAGCGAGCAUGCUGGGGGUGUGUGUGGCUGCUUAGGGCCAUUACACUGCUCUCUGUAACACCCAUGGCUCUAUGAACAGCCUGAUAAUAAACUCAAUCUCCAGGGUGA